AUACGGAGGGUGCAAGCGUUAUCCGGAAUCAUUGGGUUUAAAGGGUCCGUAGGCGGACUAUUAGGUCAGAGGUGAAAUCCCACAGCUCAACUGUGGAACUGCCUUUGAUACUGGUAGUCUUGAGUUAUAUGGAAGUAGAUAGAAUGUGUAGUGUAGCGGUGAAAUGCAUAGAUAUUACACAGAAUACCGAUUGCGAAGGCAGUCUACUACGUAUAUACUGACGCUAAGGGACGAAAGCGUGGGGAGCGAACAGGAUUAGAAACCCUAGUAGUCC
rnacentral:rRNA from 1 species